rnacentral:rRNA from 1 species
AUUGAACGCUGGCGGCAGGCCUAACACAUGCAAGUCGAACGGUAACAGGAAGCAGCUUGCUGCUUUGCUGACGAGUGGCGGACGGGUGAGUAAUGUCUGGGAAACUGCCUGAUGGAGGGGGAUAACUACUGGAAACGGUAGCUAAUACCGCAUAACGUCGCAAGACCAAAGAGGGGGACCUUCGGGCCUCUUGCCAUCGGAUGUGCCCAGAUGGGAUUAGCUAGUAGGUGGGGUAACGGCUCACCUAGGCGACGAUCCCUAGCUGGUCUGAGAGGAUGACCAGCCACACUGGAACUGAGACACGGUCCAGACUCCUACGGGAGGCAGCAGUGGGGAAUAUUGCACAAUGGGCGCAAGCCUGAUGCAGCCAUGCCGCGUGUAUGAAGAAGGCCUUCGGGUUGUAAAGUACUUUCAGCGGGGAGGAAGGGAGUAAAGUUAAUACCUUUGCUCAUUGACGUUACCCGCAGAAGAAGCACCGGCUAACUCCGUGCCA